rnacentral:misc_RNA from 1 species
GAAAAUUCAUAAAAUCUCUCUGUAGAACUCUUGCUUAAAUCAAUGCUAUAAGGUUACCAUAUAAAAAAAACCCCCUCGCACAUAAACUGAACAGCAGAAGCAGAAAUUGUUUCAGCAGCAAAAGCGUUAUAACAAAAGAUUAGCUUUUUUUGGAAAAUAAGUUUCAUCUAUCUUAUGGGUACCCUACAAGUGACUAGUUUCAAAGUUGGAUCCAAUAAAUCUCACAAUCACUUGACAAAGCAUGAUAAGAGGAUAAUACUUGAGAUGAGCAGGUCAUCACAUUAGAAAGCAAUUAUGGCAUCCCCAAUCCCCCUAGUGUCGCCUUGUUUUAGAUUCACUUUUAGAAAGUAUCAUCCCAGAAAGCUUGUUGACCUCAUACAAUAGUCCCACUGAGAACAAGAAACAUGUUGUGAUGCAAACUCGAUGAACAGUGCCAGCUGCAAUCAGAGCAAUGGCUUCUGCUAAUACCACUGUGCCCCACCCAGUCUUCAUGCCACAUGUUUCUUGGAAAUUCCCAAUGAAUGUUAGCAGCACAAGAAAUAGGAGAGAGCUAAUGAAGCCUCCAAGUAUGGUAAAUAACUCUGUUGACGCUAGCUUUCCCCGAUACAUCUCUUGAAGGGAAAGAAUGACAGUGAACAAAAGGAAGGAAUAAAGCAUGGAACUUCCAGGUCCUGCCAUUAUCUUCAUAUUGCAUGAUAUCAAGAGAAAAAAAGGAAUAAGUAUAAGGUACAUGAUCAUGAUCAGAAUACUAUCAAGGAAAUGGUUAAAGCAUAGCUCAGCCAAUUCAACCAAAGGAUAAGAAUAAGACACUAGUGAAUUCUCAUCUACGAAAAUCAGAAGGCCAAAUUAAAAUUAAAACACAGAGCCAGAAGCUCUUCAGGCUUCAAUUACAAAAUCUUUAGCAAAUACACUUAUUUUGAAGUUGACAAGGAGAAAUCUAACGGAUCUAGCAGACUCAGAAACUUAAAAUAGAGAAACCCACCAUUGAACCUAUGAUAUAUAAAUCACGCAUACAAUCAACAGAUCAUAAACGCUAAUGAAAAUUAGAAUAGUC